UUAAACAUUAGCCAUUAAAAGCUUUCUAAUUUAAGCAGCCGGCGUUAAUUAGCCCUGCUUGCUCGGCGUCAUGUUUUCCAUGAGCCUCCCUCAGCAGUUCCAGCUGCCCCUGGUGCUCGGUAACACUUUCACUGCUGGGCACCAGCCUUCCCCUCCUGGCUGCCAAGUGGAGAAAGCAGCAGGAGCUCAACACCUUUAUCUCCAGGAGCAUCAGCAGCCUGCUGGAAACAUCUCCCUUUACAGCUCAGCUGAGGAGCAUCCAGUGGGAUCAGAUCCCAGCAGCUGCUCAGCCGUGGGAUGGAGGUGCUGCGGAAAGGUCGUAUUUUCCUUGAAUUCCAUCUCAGAUUCUCCCUGAGCACCCUCUGUCUCUUCACAAGUGCUUUAAAGCCUCAUUAAGGAUAUGGAUAGAAGCCUGUUUCCACACACCCCGAGUUCCUCUUCCUGUGGAUUUAUGGAAUAACCAUCCUGCGGGAUUGCCCGGUAGCAGCAGGUCCAUCUGGAUGCUGAGAGACAAAGCAGUGCCUGGCUGCUCAAUCGCUUAGAAAAACAAUUCUUGCCAAAGAGAAAGGAGGUAAUAAAAGCCUACAGGCCUCCUGUGACA
rnacentral:lncRNA from 1 species